GCCGUGGCUCAGGGGUAGAGCUUCUGUUUUGCAUGCUCAAGGUCCCAGGUUCAAUCCUCAGCAUCUCCA